CCAAUAGCGUAUAUUAAAGUUGUUGCAGUUAAAAAGCUCGUAGUUGAACUUCGGGGUCUACCCAUUGGUCAGGCUUAAUUGUCUGCACUGGUGAGAUGGAUCUCUACCUUCUGAGGAACUUUCAUGCCAUUUAUUUAGUGUGAUUGGAAAUCAGGACUGUUACUUUGAAAAAAUUAGAGUGUUUAAAGCAGACUAUCGUCUGAAUACAUUAGCAUGGAAUAAUGAAAUAGGACGGACUGAUUCUAUUUCGUUGGUUUCUAGGAUCACCGUAAUGAUUAAUAGGGAUAGUUGGGGGCAUUAGUAUUCAAUUGUCAGAGGUGAAAUUCUUGGAUUUAUUGAAGACUAACUACUGCGAAAGCAUUUGCCAAGGAUGUUUUCAUUAAUCAAGAACGAAAGUUAGGGGAUCGAAGACGAUCAGAUACCGUCGUAGUCUUAACCAUAAACUAUGCCGACUAGGGAUCGGACGAAGUUAAUUUUAUAAUGACGCGUUCGGCACCUUACG
rnacentral:rRNA from 1 species